UAUGGCCAUACUACAUUGAAAAACCGGUUCUCGUAUGAUCACCGAAGUUAAGCAAUGUCGAGUCUCGUCAGUAAGUAGAUGGGUGGCGUCUUGGGAAUACCCGGUGUUGUAA